rnacentral:rRNA from 1 species
AGAGUUUGAUCCUGGCUCAGGAUGAACGCUGGCGGCGUGCCUAAUACAUGCAAGUCGAACGCACAGCGAAAGGUGCUUGCACCUUUCAAGUGAGUGGCGAACGGGUGAGUAACACGUGGACAACCUGCCUCAAGGCUGGGGACAACAUUUGGAAACAGAUGCUAAUACCGAAUAAAACUCAGUGUCGCAUGACACAAAGUUAAAAGGCGCUUUGGCGUCACCUAGAGAUGGAUCCGCGGUGCAUUAGUUAGUUGGUGGGGUAAAGGCCUACCAAGACAAUGAUGCAUAGCCGAGUUGAGAGACUGAUCGGCCACAUUGGGACUGAGACACGGCCCAAACUCCUACGGGAGGCUGCAGUAGGGAAUCUUCCACAAUGGGCGAAAGCCUGAUGGAGCAACGCCGCGUGUGUGAUGAAGGCUUUCGGGUCGUAAAGCACUGUUGUAUGGGAAGAACAGCUAGAAUAGGGAAUGAUUUUAGUUUGACGGUACCAUACCAGAAAGGGACGGCUAAAUACGUGCCAGCAGCCGCGGUAAUACGUAUGUCCCGAGCGUUAUCCGGAUUUAUUGGGCGUAAAGCGAGCGCAGACGGUUGAUUAAGUCUGAUGUGAAAGCCCGGAG